GAUGAAGAACGUAGCGAAAUGCGAUAAGUAAUGUGAAUUGCAGAAUUCAGUGAAUCAUCGAAUCUUUGAACGCACAUUGCGCCCCUUGGUAUUCCGAGGGGCAUGCCUGUUCGAGCGUCAUUAUAACCCUCAAGCUCAGCUUGGUGUUGGGGCCUGCUGCAGUGGCAGCCCUUAAAAUCAGUGGCGGCGCCAUCUGGCUCUAAGCGUAGUAAUUCUUCUCGCUAUGGAGUCCUGGUGGAUGCUUGCCAUCAACCCCCAAUUUUUCUAUGGUUGACCUCGGAUCAGGUAGGGAUACCCGCUGAACUUAAGCAUAUCAAUAAGCGGAGGA
rnacentral:misc_RNA from 1 species